AAGGAAAAAUUUUGUCCUAGCUAAGAACAUAUGAGAACAUUUGAACACAUAUGCAAACUAAUAACACAUUAAAGUAGACAUGCAUUCAAAAUAAUUCUAAAACCCAUGACUUUCAAAGCCUAGUGAAUGGUGAACCACAAGACUCUUUAACAAUAUUAAAGAGAGGGAAGGAUUUAGAGAUUCAUUACCCUUGAAGCUCAUCUUUGUUUACAUAAGGGAUUCACCCAAGUGGAGGGCCUUCAAGUCACCUCCUAGCUCCUUGGAUCUUCCUUGUGUUUUUCUUCCUGUUGAUGCUCCUUUGCUCCUUGAGGAUGUGAGGAAAGGAUCUCUAAGAACACCAAAGAUUUGGUGUCUCUAAGUCUGCACACCAAGGAUGAGAUGUGAAGAUGAAAUGGAUGACUUAGAGAAAAAAAGAUUACUAGCUAAUUCUUCCCUAAGUGGCUGGCCUCCUUUUAGAGAAAAAGAGAGAAAGUGUUUCUCUUCUUUUCUUCAAGAAAAACCUAAUGAGAAAAAGCUAUAAAGUUGACUUUAUACUACAUCACAUGUGAGUGGCAAACUUGUAAUUAAUUCAAGU
rnacentral:lncRNA from 1 species